rnacentral:rRNA from 1 species
GAUGAACGCUGACAGAAUGCUUAACACAUGCAAGUCUACUUGAAUUUGGGUUUUUUAACUUAGAUUUGGGUGGCGGACGGGUGAGUAACGCGUAAAGAACUUGCCUCACAGCUAGGGACAACAUUUGGAAACGAAUGCUAAUACCUGAUAUUAUGAUUAUAAGGCAUCUUAGAAUUAUGAAAGCUAUAUGCGCUGUGAGAGAGCUUUGCGUCCCAUUAGCUAGUUGGAGAGGUAACGGCUCACCAAGGCGAUGAUGGGUAGCCGGCCUGAGAGGGUGAACGGCCACAAGGGGACUGAGACAAGGCCCUUACUCCUACGGGAGGCAGCAGUGGGGAAUAUUGGACAAUGGACCAAGAGUCUGAUCCAGCAAUUCUGUGUGCACGAUGACGUUUUUCGGAAUGUAAAGUGCUUUCAGUUGGGAAGAAAAAAAUGACGGUACCAACAGAAGAAGUGACGGCUAAAUACGUG